rnacentral:rRNA from 1 species
UACGUAGGGGGCAAGCGUUGUCCGGAUUUAUUGGGCGUAAAGAGCGUGUAGGCGGCUUUACAGGUCCGUUGUGAAAACUCGAGGCUCAACCUCGAGACGCCGGUGGAAACCGUAAGGCUAGAGUCCGGAAGAGGAGAGUGGAAUUCCUGGUGUAGCGGUGAAAUGCGCAGAUAUCAGGAGGAACACCCGUGGCGAAAGCGGCUCUCUGGGACGGUACUGACGCUGAGGCGCGAAAGCCAGGGGAGCAAACGGG